AUGUACGUACUUCUAUCGAUGGAGGCCUUAUUGUAAACCAUGUGACAAACUGGAGGCUAAAGAUGUGUGUCCCAAGUACAAACGAUGUCAAGAGUGUAGGGCUGGUCUCGACAGUUGUGUGAUUUGUCCACCUAACAGAUAUGGUACUUGGUGUAGCGGUGAGUGUCAGUGUAAGAAUGGGGGUAUUUGUGACCAGAGGACAGGAGCUUGUACAUGUCGUGACAGAUAUGAAGGUGUGCAUUGUGAAAUCCUUCAAGGUUGUCCUCUUCUUCCAUCGCAUCCCCAGGUUCAGGAAGUAAGAAAUCCACCAAAUGAUCCACAAACUAUUGAUUACAGCUGUUCACCAGGCUUCAAGCUUAAAGGCGUGGCACGUAUCACCUGUCUUCCAAAUGGACAGUGGAGUAACUUUUCACUCAGAUGUAGU